UGGGGAAUAUUGGACAAUGGGCGCAAGCCUGAUCCAGCAAUGCCGCGUGUGUGAAGAAGGCCUUCGGGUUGUAAAGCACUUUUAUCAGGAACGAAAUACCACGGGUUAAUACCCUAUGGGGCUGACGGUACCUGAGGAAUAAGCACCGGCUAACUUCGUGCCAGCAGCCGCGGUAAUACGAAGGGUGCAAGCGUUAAUCGGAAUUACUGGGCGUAAAGGGUGCGUAGGCGGUUCGUUAAGUCUGUCGUGAAAUCCCCGGGCUCAACCUGGGAAUGGCGAUGGAUACUGG
rnacentral:rRNA from 1 species